rnacentral:rRNA from 1 species
GAUGAACGCUGGCGGCGUGCUUAACACAUGCAAGUCGAACGAGAAGUGAAGACGGAAACCUUCGGGCGGAAGGCUUUAUUUCGAGUGGCGGACGGGUGAGUAACGCGUGGGUAACCUGCCUCAUACAGGGGGAUAACAGUUGGAAACGACUGUUAAUACCGCAUAAGACCACAGCACCGCAUGGUGCGGGGGUAAAAACUCCGGUGGUAUGAGAUGGACCCGCGUUCGAUUAGCCAGUUGGCGGGGUAACGGCCCACCAAAGCGACGAUCGAUAGCCGAUCUUAGAGGAGGACCCGCCACCUUGGGACCGAGACCCCGCCCAAACUCCCACGGGAGGGCGCCGUGGGGAAUAUUGCACAAUGGGGGAAACCCUGAUGCAGCGACGCCGCGUGAGUGAAGAAGUAUUUCGGUAUGUAAAGCUCUAUCAGCAGGGAAGAAAAUGACGGUACCUGAGUAAGAAGCCCCGGCUAACUACGUG